rnacentral:sRNA from 1 species
UUUUAAAGGCCAAGAGAAUGAAGUCCUCCAUUUUCUCACAGAACAGGUAGAACAUGGACGACUGCAGUUCAACUUUUCUCCACACUUCUCUGAUAAUGUGCUUCGACCUGGGGGGAGGGGGCACCGCUGGGGUGUGAGGGUAGCCGUUCUUCUGAAACUACC